rnacentral:rRNA from 1 species
AUUGAACGCUGGCGGCAUGCCUUACACAUGCAAGUCGAACGGCAGCACGGGUGCUUGCACCUGGUGGCGAGUGGCGAACGGGUGAGUAAUACAUCGGAACAUGUCCUGUAGUGGGGGAUAGCCCGGCGAAAGCCGGAUUAAUACCGCAUACGAACUACGGAUGACAGCGGGGGACCUUCGGACCUCGGGCUUUAGGGUUGGCCGAUGGCUGAUUAGCUAGUUGGUGGGGUAAAGGCCUACCAAGGCGACGAUCAGUAGCUGGUCUGAGAGGACGACCAGCCACACUGGGACUGAGACACGGCCCAGACUCCUACGGGAGGCAGCAGUGGGGAAUUUUGGACAAUGGGCGAAAGCCUGAUCCAGCAAUGCCGCGUGUGUGAAGAAGGCCUUCGGGUUGUAAAGCACUUUUGUCCGGAAAGAAAUCCUUGGCCCUAAUACGGUCGGGGGAUGACGGUACCGGAAGAAUAAGCACCGGCUAACUACGUG